rnacentral:lncRNA from 1 species
GUAAAAAAUGUUUAAGCCUCUAUUUCCAACUUCAUGUUACGAGAAAUGUGAAGGAGAGGCCCAUAUCAAAUUUCACCAUGAGGAAAGAAACUAAUGUGUGACAUUCUAUAAAACAGCUUUCCUAAACUCUUCAAAAGUCUGGGUUUUUUCAAGUCUCAUUUUUUUUAGCUCAGCUUAAGGGAUAAACUCUGAAUUAAAAUCCCCUCAAAUUCUUUAUACUGUACUAGAUCUUAUCCAGAAUGAACUAUCUGAAAUUCAAAUGGAUGAGUGGUUAUGGGAAGCUUUUCUGAAUUCAUUCCUCAAAACGGUUGUGCCUCUCCUAAGAAUUCACCAGUAGUAAUACUAAUAAUAAAGACAAUAUGAACAAUAGCUAAUAUGUAUUGAGCAUAGGCUACAUACCAGAUACUCUUCCAAGGAUAUGAUGUAUACUAAAUCCAUCUCAUCUCUGUAACAGCAUUAUUAGUUACCAUCAGCAUUUGAAACAUCAUGUCCAGAAGAGAUAAGCAUUUUGCUCACCAUCCUACAGGUAGUAUGGAGGUGAAAUGGUGAUGACAGUAUGGUAUUUGCCAUGGAUAAGGGUUUUCCUACAUUUGUUACAUUAACAGAGUUACUCUCUAGGAUGAACUUACUGAAGUUUAACGAAGACUGAAUAGUGUUGGAAGGCUUCUGUACAUUUAACAUAUCUGGUAUAAAUUAUCUUAUGCUGUUACAGGCAUUAGAAAAUUUUGAUUCCCUCAUUUGCCAAAUCUUGCUAUAGUAUGAAUAUUCUGCUAUUCUAAUCAGAGAGGUGCAAGUGAAGAAUUUCUUAUUUAAAUUGUCACUUGUCUCACGUCUUGAAAAGUGUGAGUCUUGUCUCAAAUUAUUUCUGGGAAAGAACAAACUUUGUUUUCAAUUCUCAAUCAUUUAUGGACUGAUAAUUUUGUAAAAUAGAAUGUUAUGGAAAUGUCAAAUUGCUAUAAAAGUUCCAAAUAUUUACUCACUUUCCACAUUUAUCUCACGAUUGACAGAUGACAAUUUUAUGACUGCACCACUCUCUGGAUAAUAAUUUGAGUAGCAUUUGUCUAAAGGCCUUCCUAUAAUUCUAAUUCAAAUGAUUUCUCAUUUGGAUGAAUUCUCUGAUGUACUCUAAGAUAUUUACUAUGUCUAUAAGCCUUCCCAAAUUCCUUAUGUGCAUAGGAUUACACAGCAGUAUGAAUUCUCUGAUGUGCAGCAAGAACUGAAUUAAGUUUAGGUCCUUCCCACAUUCCUCCCAUUUAAACUCUUUUUAACAAAUACCAAUUAUUUGAUGUUAAUCAGACUUUGUGUCAUGAAUGAAGAUCUUCACACAUUCCUUACAUUUAAAUGAUUUUACAUCAGUAUAAAUUGAUAUCCAAUAAGACUGUACAGAAGUCUAAAGGCCUUUUCAUAUUAGUUAUAUUCAAAAUAUUUCUCACUAGUAUGAAUUGCUGGAUAGCAAGAUAAUUGCCCAUAAACAGAAAUGAAUGGCUUUUGCACAACCCUUACAUUCACAAGGUUUCUCAAGAGUAAGAGUUCUUAUUAUGAUAAGUUGUCUAUACACACACACAAAAUAUUCUUUUACAACUUUCAAUCAUAAGGUUUCAUCAGUAUCAAUUUUCUCAUUCACAGUGAGUUCAGUAAGUCCAUGAA